GUGAGCACAUAAGGCAACUUAUUCGCACCGCUUCGUAGAGGUUUUAAUGUUCUUGCCAUAUUCAGAGAAAACUUGUUUUAUUUAGAGAUCUUGCCAUUGCUCAAGUUCAGCCAACAAACGAUACGUGGGGCACAUGGAAAACAGCGUGCUACUUCAAUCCUUUGUCACAUUUGCGGCGAUCAUUGCCUGCAGUAGGGUGGAUCUGUCUCACGACCUCAUAGAAACUCUGAAAGUGAUGAAGCUUUUGACGACAAAAAUGCAAGCUGGCACCAGUCCUCAGAAUAUCACCACGUCGGGAUGCCUCUUCAUCAGUGGGCCGCAAGUAACCUUCAAUAUAACAAGCGGCAAAGUAUAUGGCCUUAUAGCGCCGGGUCUUGAGAUCAGGUUGGUUCCUGUUCCGCUGACGCCUUCAUUCUCGCGACGAUGGGAGUACUUCCAUGGCUGAAGGACAGAAACGUUUUUGCACAUAUCCAGGAUUUAUCUGCCGAAGCCUUGCUGUCCCAUCAACCGUGCACAUCACGGGUUACUGCUCAGCACCCGGCUGGAUCGGCAGUGAAGUCACCAUCGGAUGCUAUGGCUUCUUCAACUCGGUUCGCGCACAUUUUAAUGGUGCAGCAAUAGUCAAUAGUAGCAGACACGACGUCAAUUUUAUCGCAACACCAGCUGGCAGUGUAGAUGUGCUCGUUGAGUUGGCUGCAGAACCAGGUAACAUACUUCAUGCGUAUAUCAAGGCAAGCAUCCUGUUUGCAUGCCUACAGACGUGGCCUUGAAAUUCUUAACGUUGAACGCCAGUUACCUUCUAAUACCGGUCAAAAGACAGAAUAAAAACGCUCGCGCUCCAAAAUUUCAGUGAUCUGGCAGGUACAUUAAAUCACUAAUAUCAAUCAAUCAAUCAAUCAAUCAAUCAAUCAAUCAAUAAAUCAGUCAGUCAGUCUGCCAAAUGUUAAUUUUAAUGUCCAGGAGAAGGUAGGCAGUGUUCGCGCUGGUGCAUUUAAAAAGUAAUGUGUGAGGAAAUACGAAUAAAGGCAAAUGCGCUAAACAAAGAAAUUCGAGAUACAGAAACAGCGAAACAGAAUAGCAUGAGGCACGCGUAAGAAGUAGUUCAUCAUACAACAUUCUCUACAUUUAUACAAAACACAGGAAAUGAACUCUUAAAUAUGUCAAUUCAGGCAGAAUACUUGUAUGUUUUUUGGAGGUGAGACAUAGGACAGCCUUUAGUGCAACAACGUCAGGCAGAAAAUGCGGAACCGUGCCUGGUACACUUUUGCGGCUCGGAAAAUUGUAGAUAAUCAAGAAAGUUCAUGCAAUGUAUAACGCCAUAGACCACCUUAUAAAGGAACAGAAUGUCUCAUUUUAUACGUCUUUUGUUUAGAGGUUAGAGUUGAAGUAUGUUUGAGAGGACUGGAUUAUGGUCGCCAGAAAGGCAAAAGUUGUGCUUGAAAAUAAAUAUCAAUUUACCCUG